CAGCAGCCACGGUAAUACAGAGGGUGCAAGCGUUAAUCGGAAUUACUGGGCGUAAAGCGCGCGUAGGUGGUUUGUUAAGUUGGAUGUGAAAUCCCCGGGCUCAACCUGGGAACUGCAUCCAAAACUGGCAAGCUAGAGUAUGGUAGAGGGUGGUGGAAUUUCCUGUGUAGCGGUGAAAUGCGUAGAUAUAGGAAGGAACACCAGUGGCGAAGGCGACCACCUGGACUGAUACUGACACUGAGGUGCGAAAGCGUGGGGAGCAAACAGGAUUAGAUACCCGAGUAGUCCCUGUCUCUUAUAA
rnacentral:rRNA from 1 species